ensembl:snoRNA
ACAGGAGUUAAAUUUGAUACAUGUUCAAGAAGCAUGUUUAGGAAAAGAUCCAACUCUGUUUUCAUCCCAUG